GAGCGAACUUGCGGGAGCUUGCUCCUGUAAGUUAGCGGCGGACGGGUGAGUAACACGUGGGCAACCUGCCUAUAAGACUGGGAUAACUUCGGGAAACCGGAGCUAAUACCGGAUAAUUCUUUUCUACACAUGUAGGAAAGCUAAAAGACGGUUUACGCUGUCACUUGUAUAUGGGCCCGCGGCGCAUUAGCUAGUUGGUGAGGUAACGGCUCACCAAGGCCACGAUGCGUAGCCGACCUGAGAGGGUGAUCGGCCACACUGGGACUGAGACACGGCCCAGACUCCUACGGGAGGCAGCAGUAGGGAAUCUUCCGCAAUGGACGAAAGUCUGACGGAGCAACGCCGCGUGAGUGAUGAAGGUUUUCGGAUCGUAAAACUCUGUUGUUAGGGAAGAACAAGUACGAGAGUAACUGCUCGUACCUUGACGGUACCUAACCAGAAAGCCACGGUUAACUACGUGCCAGCAGCCGCGGUAAU
rnacentral:rRNA from 1 species